CCUACGGGUGGCAGCAGUGAGGAAUAUUGGUCAAUGGGCGCUAGCCUGAACCAGCCAUGUAGCGUGAAGGCUGACUGCCCUCUGGGUUGUAAACUUCUUUUAUCUGGGACUAAAGUGCAGUAUGUAUACUGCUUUGCAUGUACCUUCUGAAUAAGGAUUGGCUAACUCCUUGCCAGCAGCCGCGGUAAUACGGAGGAUCCGAGCGUUAUCCGGAUUUAUUGGGUUUAAAGGGGGCGUAGGCGGGGUGUUAAGUCAGUUGUGAAAGUUUGCGGCUCAACCGUAAAAUUGCAGUUGAUACUGGCACCCUUGAGUACCGUAGAGGUAGGCGGAAUUCGUGGUGUAGCGGUGAAAUGCUUAGAUAUCACGAAGAACUCCGAUUGCGAAGGCAGCCUGCUGGACUGUAACUGACGCUGAUGCACGAAAGUGUGGGUAUCAAACAGGAUUAGAUACCCCAGUAGUC
rnacentral:rRNA from 1 species